UAAAUGUGAAAAUCGUGAUCUGGAGGUAGUGGUGGGUAGCCGGCGCCCGUGGCGUUGGUGGAUUGCAGGGAAGAAAGAAUUUUUUUCUAUUUAAUUUUUUAUUAUUAUUUAUUUUACUUUUAUUCGUUGGAGUGGUAUUUAAUUUUAGCACACCAGGUGUCAUGUCAUUUUGUGUGUUUCAAUUUUUGUUAAUUUGGAUAGAGAAAUGGAC
rnacentral:lncRNA from 1 species